rnacentral:rRNA from 1 species
GAGUUUGAUCCUGGCUCAGGAUGAACGCUGGCGGCGUGCUUAACACAUGCAAGUCGAACGAAGCGCCUUGCCGGAACCCCUUCGGGGAGGAAGGCAUUGCGACUGAGUGGCGGACGGGUGAGUAACGCGUGGGCAACCUGCCCCAUACAGGGGGAUAACAGUUAGAAAUGACUGCUAACACCGCAUAAGCGCACAGGGCCGCAUGGCCCGGUGUGAAAAACUCCGGUGGUAUGGGAUGGGCCCGCGUCUGAUUAGCCAGUUGGCGGGGUAAUGGCCCACCAAAGCGACGAUCAGUAGCCGACCUGAGAGGGUGACCGGCCACAUUGGGACUGAGACACGGCCCAAACUCCUACGGGAGGCAGCAGUGGGGAAUAUUGCACAAUGGGGGGAACCCUGAUGCAGCGACGCCGCGUGAGCGAAGAAGUAUCUCGGUAUGUAAAGCUCUAUCAGCAGGGAAGAAAAAUGACGGUACCUGACUAAGAAGCCCCGGCUAACUACGUGCC